GGAAUAAAAGUCGUAACAAGGUUUCCGUAGAUGAACCUGCGGAAGGAUCAUUAUUGUAUAACCGAGGUGCGAGGGCUGUCGCUGACCCGAAAGGUCGUGCACGCCCGAGUGCCCUCACACACAUCCAUCUCACCCCUAUGUGCACCACCGCGUGGGUCCCCCUUUGGCUUGUUCGGAGGGGGGCUUACGUUUUCACACAAACUUUGUAUGCAGUGUAGAAUGUAUUUUUUGUUUUUGCGAUCACGCAAUCAAUACAACUUUCAACAACGGAUCUCUUGGCUCUC
rnacentral:misc_RNA from 1 species